UGACACGUCUCCUUCAGGCACGCUU
rnacentral:piRNA from 1 species